rnacentral:lncRNA from 1 species
GAAAAGCUUCAACUUGCUAGUGAGGGGUUAACCCUAUAAUAAGCAAGGAAGUCUUACAAUUCAAUCACUAAGGACAAAAGGUGAGAUUAACAUCAACCAACUAGGAUAAAUCAAACCUAUGGCUAAUGUAUGAAAACUUAUCAAGAAUGGACAAAGCCACAAAACAAUUGAGUGAGUGAAAUUAACCAAUUAGGAUUAUUCACAAAAGUGGUCAAGGUAUGAUUAGAAUUCAAUUCAAAAGAAGUAUUAUGAAAACGAAGUUUGAAAA